GAUGAACGCUGGCGGCGUGCCUAAUACAUGCAAGUCGAGCGAACAGACGAGGAGCUUGCUCCUCUGACGUUAGCGGCGGACGGGUGAGUAACACGUGGAUAACCUACCUAUAAGACUGGGAUAACUUCGGGAAACCGGAGCUAAUACCGGAUAAUAUAUUGAACCGCAUGGUUCAAUAGUGAAAGACGGUUUUGCUGUCACUUAGAGAUGGAUCCGCGCCGCAUUAGCUAGUUGGUAAGGUAACGGCUUACCAAGGCAACGAUGCGUAGCCGACCCGAGAGGGUGAUCGGCCACACUGGAACUGAGACACGGUCCAGACUCCUACGGGAGGCAGCAGUAGGGAAUCUUCCGCAAUGGGCGAAAGCCUGACGGAGCAACGCCGCGUGAGUGAUGAAGGUCUUCGGAUCGUAAAACUCUGUUAUUAGGGAAGAACAAAUGUGUAAGUAACUAUGCACGUCUUGACGGUACCUAAUCAGAAAGCCACGGCUAACUACGUG
rnacentral:rRNA from 1 species